CUCUGCAUGUGCUAUUCCUUACCAGCAUCCAAACACCCCUCCCUGUCACCAGCCUCCGGCAGCCAGAGGCUCUGGGCUGAAAGGAGGUGACAGGACAGACUCCUGACCAGGCAGCCAGCGCCGGAGGCCAGUUCCCGUGCCCACCUCCAGCCCCAGCCGGGCCCCUCUCGGGAUGCCGAGGGAGCCCCACACCGGCCCCACCUCCUGGUGUCUGACUGACUGUCAACAUGAGCGACUUCCCAAAGAGAUACAAGAUGCAUCAGCCCCGGGUCCACACUUCCCUCAGUGACCACUCGGUGGGAACUUCUGGGCAGAUAAGGCAGCACCUGGCCUUUGCCUCUGAGAUGUCCCUCUGCUCUGACAGGAGCUGCCAGGAAACGUUUCCAAGAUCUUUGGGAGUCGGAAUGUAGAACUCAUGAUUCAUGUGCCAAGUGCAAUCUUCCUUUAGGGGCAUUUGCCAGACGACCCCACCUUCUUUCUCUGUGAAAGGGCCCGUGGGAAGUGAGCCAAGUGUGACAGUCCCGCACAGGUGGCUGGUGGCUGGCGGUGGUCCGUCUGGGGGCCCAGCUUAAGGUCAGGCUCUAUGGACCUCCAGCGAGCUCAGUCGCCCGGGGCCAGGGA